rnacentral:rRNA from 1 species
GACGAACGCUGGCGGCGUGCUUAACACAUGCAAGUCGAACGGUAAGGCCCUUCGGGGUACACGAGUGGCGAACGGGUGAGUAACACGUGGGUGAUCUGCCCUGCACUUCGGGAUAAGCCUGGGAAACUGGGUCUAAUACCGGAUAGGACCCUGGGAUGCAUGUCCUGGGGUGGAAAGCUUUUGCGGUGUGGGAUGGGCCCGCGGCCUAUCAGCUGGGUGGUGGGGUGAUGGCCUACCAAGGCGACGGCGGGUAGCCGGCCUGGGAGAGUGACCGGCGACACUGGGACUGAGUUACGGCCCAGACUCCUACGGGAGGCAGCAGUGGGGAAUAUUGCACAAUGGGCGCGAGCCUGAGGCAGCGAAGCCGCGUGAGGGAUGACGGCCUUCGGGUUGUAAACCUCUUUCAGCACCGACGAAGCGCAAGUGACGGUAGGUGCAGAAGAAGGACCGGCCAACUACGUGCCAGCCGCCGCGGUAA